rnacentral:rRNA from 1 species
UACGUAGGGUGCGAGCGUUAAUCGGAAUUACUGGGCGUAAAGCGUGCGUAGGCGGUGAUGUAAGACAGUUGUGAAAUCCCCGGGCUCAACCUGGGAACUGCAUCUGUGACUGCAUCGCUGGAGUGCGGCAGAGGGGGAUGGAAUUCCGCGUGUAGCAGUGAAAUGCGUAGAUAUGCGGAGGAACACCGAUGGCGAAGGCAAUCCCCCUGGACCUGUACUGACGCUCAUGCACGAAAGCGUGGGGAGCAAACAGG